GGCCUCUAGUCUACCGGUUGUCCGGCAGGGCACUGCCGGGCAGCCACGCCGCAGGGGAUAAGGGCUGAAGGCAUCUAAGCCCGAAGCCCUCCCCGAGACGAGGCGGCCAUUCCCGGUCAUUGGGGACCUGGCGACAGGUCCUUGGACCGGGACGAGGGCGCCCGUAGAAGACGGGGUUGAUGGGGUGGCGGUGUAAGCGCCGAGGUCCUCUGGACCGAGGCGUGAGCCGGCCACUCCCAAUAGCCCGAG
rnacentral:rRNA from 1 species